rnacentral:rRNA from 1 species
GAUGAACGCUAGCGACAGGCCUAACACAUGCAAGUCGAGGGGCAGCACAUGCGUAGCAAUACAAUGGUGGCGACCGGCGCACGGGUGAGUAACACGUAUGCAACCUGCCUGUAAGAGGGGAAUAACCCGGAGAAAUUCGGACUAAUACCGCAUAAUACCUCGAAGCUGCAUGGCUUUGAGGUUAAACAUUUAUGGCUUACAGAUGGGCAUGCGUAUGAUUAGCUAGUAGGUGAGGUAACGGCUCACCUAGGCAACGAUCAUUAGGGGUUCUGAGAGGAAGGUCCCCCACACUGGUACUGAGACACGGACCAGACUCCUACGGGUGCAG